rnacentral:rRNA from 1 species
AGAGCGAACGCUGGCGGCAGGCCUAACACAUGCAAGUCGAACGGACUCUUCGGAGUUAGUGGCGGACGGGUGAGUAACACGUGGGAACGUGCCUUUAGGUUCGGAAUAGCUCCUGGAAACGGGUGGUAAUGCCGAAUGUGCCCUUCGGGGGAAAGAUUUAUCGCCUUUAGAGCGGCCCGCGUCUGAUUAGCUAGUUGGUGAGGUAAAGGCUCACCAAGGCUACGAUCAGUAGCUGGUCUGAGAGGAUGACCAGCCACAUUGGGACUGAGACACGGCCCAAACUCCUACGGGAGGCAGCAGUGGGGAAUCUUGCGCAAUGGGCGAAAGCCUGACGCAGCCAUGCCGCGUGAAUGAUGAAGGUCUUAGGAUUGUAAAAUUCUCUCAGUAGGGACGAUAAUGACGGUACCUACAGAAGAAGCCCCGGACUAACUCGUGCCAGCAGCCGC